rnacentral:lncRNA from 1 species
UUUUUGUCACACUGAAUAACCAUCUUGGACCGGGCCUAGCACGCACCACUGCUACUAACACCUCACGCCAGGCCCACUCACAUUCUCUCUUCAUUUUCAUUUUUAUUUUUUUAAUUCAACAUUUUUAUUUUCUGUUUUGUUUUGUAAUUAAUAAAAUAUUUUACUUAUUCAUAAAAAUACCAAAAAAUAUUUUUUACUUUCCUUAAUGUUUUAUUUAAUUUAUUUAAUUUUUAUUUUCA